rnacentral:tRNA from 1 species
GCCGUCGUGGUGGAAUGGUAGACACGCAGGUUUUAGGAGCCUGUGCUUUAGCGUGUGGGUUCAAGUCCCACCGACGGCA